rnacentral:lncRNA from 1 species
AAAGGGUGAUCGCAUGCGCGGUGACCGCAUAAGCGGUCCCUGGCGUUUAAGUGAAACCGCAUAAGCGGUCUUUUGGCCGCAAAAGUGGGUCCCGCAUAGGCGGUAGCGGGACCGCAGCAGCGAAACCUGGCAGGGGUUUUAGUGAACUGUAGUUCAUGAUUUUGAAAAGAAGAGAAAAUAUUUGGGACUUCGGACUAAGGCGAUUUUUGGGCGAUUUUGAAGAGGGUUUCGAGGGUUCCAUCAGGUAUGUAUUCUUGGUCUCGGAUUAAGUUAUCAUGGUGUAAAAACAUGGAUUAAUCACUUAAUUUCAAAGAUUUAAAGAUUAAAAAUGGAGGUUAGGGCUUGAAACUCAAGAGAGUUUAAAUGUGGGUAUUGAAGGGAAAAAACGAACCCCGAUUUUGGUAAAAAUAAUGGGUACAGACUCGUGGCAAGACGAGGAGUCCGAUGAUGUAAAUUUCGUAUUUUUCGAGUCUUUUGAUUGGGUUGUAUUCCAUUAGCCUAUUGUAACUUAUUCGUUGUUGUUUUUGCCAGAUUCGAUGCGUGAGGAGGUCGAUACAAGAGGAAAGGGCAUCAUAUGCUAGUUUUCGACUGACUAAAGGUGAGUAAUAGAUGUAGAUGAUGACCUGAGGGUUUGAAACCUCUGUAUAUCAUACUGUGACGCUGUAUUGAGGUGAGACACGUACUCUACGGUGAGUUCGGGGUAGUUUGUGGACGGGGACUAUGGCUUAGUCCGUCAGAGUGAUGUCCAUACUGUGUUAAUGACUAAAAAUUGAUUAGUAAACAUCCUGCUUGGAUCGUUAUGAGCAUAUUUGGGCCGAGUGCCGAUUAUUUGGAUCCCUUAGGGAUUAUUAUCACUAGUUCCAUGAUAUUGAUCAUGUUUCCAUAAUAUCAGUCCUUAGUUAAAUAUGGUCUCGAAAUGAUUAGUAAACUUCUAAGGUUUUAAUCACUUAAACUAUAAUACAUGUUAAAUGGAACUGAAAAUGGUAAAUUUGAUUGUGCCCGUGUGGCUUGCAUGCAUAUAACAAGACUAAUUGUGGAUCGGGCUGCACGCUGCAGUGAGUGCUAUGAAGAUAUUGUGCUUGGGCUGUAGUGAGCGCGGGUACCCAAAUGUAUCGGGCUGUACGCCUCAAUGGUCAUGUGCAUUGCAUUGCAUUCAUACAUUGAUAUCUAUUUGUCUAUUUAUCAUUAAUUUACUGUUGUUUCAUCGUUAAAUGUACUAGGUGGUUAGUUUCAGCUUUACUUUGUGGUAUUUCGGGAUUUCUUACUUUCAGUCAUUAUACAUGUCUAUUACCACUGAGUUGGAAGUACUCACUUUACUCCCUGCACCAUGUGUACAGAUUCAGGUACCUCGGGAGCAUAGUUGAGCUUUUGCUAUUUCAGAGUUUCUCAGGAGUUGUCGAGGUAGCUGCCUGACGUUCGCAGGACCCAUCUCCUCCCCUAUCCCUUUAUUAUUUUCCGCAUUUGUCAACAUCAGUAUUACUGAGAAUUUAUUAUUUUGUUAUCUUAUAGGCUCUAGACUCAAGACCCCAGGUCCUUGG